ACUGAACACCUUCCCCGUACCAGCAGCUGGAGGAUUUGUUUGGUAGCACCUGGGGGAUGGCUCUGUCCCGGGCGCACUUAGGCGGGCUGUGCGGAGCGCUUUACCUUCCACAGUGUCCGGCACACGCAUCCUUUUCGACAUCAUCACUUGACCUGCUGCAAUAGACAAGUCUUGCUGUGUUGCCCAGGCCGGAGUGCAGUGGUGCAAUCUCUGCUCAGUGCAACCUCUGCCUCCUGGGUUCAAGUGAUCAUUCUGCCUCAGGCUCCUGACUAAUUGGGAUUACAGGCAUGCACCACCACACCAGCUAAUGUUUGUAUUUUCAGUGGAGACGGGGUUUUACCAUGUUGGCCAGGCUGGUCUCAAACUCCUGACCUCAGGUGAUUCGCCUGCCUCGGCCUCCCAAAGUGCUGGGUUUACAGGCGUGAGCCACCGCCCGGCCUCAUGUCAUCAAAAGAAGAGAAAACAGAGGCACAAGAGAAGAUGACCACAGAAGACAGAGGCAGAGGCUGGGGUUAUGCUACCACAAACCGGAGAAUGCCAAGGAUUGCUGGCAACCACCAGGAGCCUGGGGAGAGGCGUGGAACCCCUCCUCCCUCAGAGGCCCCAGAAGGAUCCAACCCUGCUAAUACCUUGAUUUUAGACUUCCCACCCCCAGAACUGUGAGAAAAUAAAUUUCUAGCUGCUUUAAGCCA